GCAUUCUUCCUGAAGAAGGCGUUUAAGCAAGACAAAGGAUCAGGCUCGCCGAGAGGAAGAACUGAUGCCACUGUAUCCAGGCACUAGUAGUAGGACUGGCUUAAGCUGCGAAGACUACCGUUUUAUGAUCCGUAUUAUAAACACACUGAGUACUGCUUACCUUUUUUCUUUUUUGAGAAGAGAGUAUUUCUUACUUGAAAAUGCACGACUAUACAGCGUUUUCAGCCUGAGUUAUGUAAAUAAUAAGUUUUGAAAUAACCUUCUUCCCCAGUUAGCGCUUGGGAUGGUAUCCUGUUGUUUCCUAGUCUUCUGCCGUACUUUCCUUCCCCACGCGCAGACGCCCAAUUCAGUACCGGGAGUUCCAAAAUAACACUGAGAAAAUCAAACUUCAAAAUACCAUUACACCUUUGGUUUUUAUGCCAAAAUACCACUAUGUACGGAGUAACUGGGACUAACAGCAAUGUAAGAUGUCCUUGCCUCUUCCGUGCUCAUUUCCACUCAUUCGUGCAACGCCGGUGCUGACUUCAGAGGGAACAUGCAACAGAGUAGCAGACUGACGGCAGAGCAGAAGAGGAAAGGGCGAGCUGCUCGUGGGCGGCAGAGGGCGCCCCGCGUCGGCAUCAGGAGUGGCCGCGACCUGCAGGGAACCAGCGACCGACUCGUGGAAGGCAGAGGGCACCCUCGUCGGCGUCAUGCGUGCUCGCGACGGGCAGUGAGCGGCGAGCAUGGACGCGACGGACUCGUGGGCGGUGGAGGGGCAUCAGGGGUGGCCGCGACGGGCAGAGAGCAUCGGAUGGGUCGGGCGUGGCCGCUGGGACGAGAUGGCGGCUGGGGCGAGGUAUUUAGAGGGAAGAUUCGUCAGAGGCUGAGAGCGGCGGUGGAUCGAGGGAUUCAGAGGGAAGAGAUGGCGGCCGGGGCGAGCCAUCGCCGGCGCGGCGAUGCGGCGGCCGGGCGCCGCCAUGGUUCGCCAGGAGAAGGGGAUGGGGCAGGCCGGUAGGGGAGAUCGGGCUGGGCUAGGUGAUGAGGGCAAUUUUGGCAUUCUUAAAAAACUGACAAGAAAUAUCUUGUUUGACUAACGGGAAACCUUUGACAUCUCACGGCAGUGGU
rnacentral:lncRNA from 1 species